rnacentral:rRNA from 1 species
CAGUCGCCACGGGAAUACAGAGGGUGCGAGCGUUAAUCGGAUUUACUGGGCGUAAAGCGUGCGUAGGCGGCUUUUUAAGUCGGAUGUGAAAUCCCUGAGCUUAACUUAGGUAUUGCAUUCGAUACUGGGAAGCUAGAGUAUGGGAGAGGAUGGUAGAAUUCCAGGUGUAGCGGUGAAAUGCGUAGAGAUCUGGAGGAAUACCGAUGGCGAAGGCAGCCAUCUGGCCUAAUACUGACGCUGAGGUACGAAAGCAUGGGGAGCAAACAGGAUUAGAUACCCCAGUAGUCCCUGUCUCUUAUAU